rnacentral:rRNA from 1 species
UACGUAGGGGGCUAGCGUUGUCCGGAAUCAUUGGGCGUAAAGCGCGCGUAGGCGGCCCGGUAAGUCCGUUGUAAAAGUCAAAGGCUCAACCUUUGAAAGCCGAUGGAUACUGCCGGGCUAGAGUCCGGAAGAGGCGAGUGGAAUUCCCGGUGUAGCGGUGAAAUGCGCAGAUAUCGGGAGGAACACCUAUGGCGAAGGCAGCUCGCUGGGACGGUACUGACGCUGAGACGCGAAAGCGUGGGAGCAAACAGG